GAUGAACGCUGGCGGCGUGCCUAAUACAUGCAAGUCGAGCGAGCAGAUGAGGAGCUUGCUCCUCUGACGUUAGCGGCGGACGGGUGAGUAACACGUGGAUAACCUACCUAUAAGACUGGGAUAACUUCGGGAAACCGGAGCUAAUACCGGAUAAUAUAUUGAACCGCAUGGUUCAAUAGUGAAAGACGGUUUUGCUGUCACUUAUAGAUGGAUCCGCGCCGCAUUAGCUAGUUGGUAAGGUAACGGCUUACCAAGGCAACGAUGCGUAGCCGACCUGAGAGGGUGAUCGGCCACACUGGAACUGAGACACGGUCCAGACUCCUACGGGAGGCAGCAGUAGGGAAUCUUCCGCAAAGGGCGAAAGCUUGACGGAGCAACGCCGCGUGAGUGAUGAAGGUCUUCGGAUCGUAAAACUCUGUUAUUAGGGAAGAACAAAUGUGUAAGUAACUAUGCACGUCUUGACGGUACCUAAUCAGAAAGCCACGGCUAACUACGUG
rnacentral:rRNA from 1 species